rnacentral:lncRNA from 1 species
AUCCAAAACUUAGAGGUGAAUCUAAGGUCGUUGUCUGAUACCACUGUCACAAGAACUCCAUGCAGUCUGACUAUCUUCCAGAUAUAGAUUUUAGCUAGUUUGUCCAAGGGAUCUAUUAUUCUGGUAGCCAAAAAAUAUGAGGACUUAGUGAGUCAAUAAUUAUCCAGAUCGCAUUGUGUCCUGAACAUGCCUUAGGCAAUCAUAUUACAAAGUCUAUGGGGAUAUGUUCUCAUUUUUAUUUUGGAAUCAGC